UGGGGAAUUUUGCGCAAUGGGCGAAAGCCUGACGCAGCAACGCCGCGUGGAGGAUGAAGGCCCUUGGGUUGUAAACUCCUGUCAGCAGGGAAAAAGGAGGUCGGGUUAAUACCCUGGCCGCUUGAUUGUACCUGCAGAGGAAGCCCCGGCUAACUCUGUGCCAGCAGCCGCGGUAAUACAGAGGGGGCGAGCGUUAUUCGGAAUUAUUGGGCGUAAAGGGCGCGUAGGUGGCCAAGUAAGCGGAAGGUGAAAUCCCUCGGCUCAACCGAGGAACUGCCCUCCGAACUGCGAGGCUUGAGUCCGGGAGAGGUGAGUGGAAUUCCCAGUGUAGCGGUGAAAUGCGUAGAUAUUGGGAGGAACACCAGUGGCGAAGGCGGCUCACUGGACCGGAACUGACGCUGAGGCGCGAAAGCGUGGGGAGCAAACAGG
rnacentral:rRNA from 1 species